rnacentral:rRNA from 1 species
AUCAGGCGAUGGCUGCUGGAAGGGUUUGAUUAUGGCUCAGAUUGAACAUGGCGGGAUGCUUUACACAUGCAAGUCGAACGGCAGCACCACGGACUUCGGUCUGGCUGGCGAGUGGCGAACGGGUGAGUAAUGUAUCGGAACGUGCCUGACGUAGCGGGGGAUAACUACGCGAAAGCGUAGCCAGCUACCGCAUACGCCCUUAGAAAUAGCGGGGGACCUUCGGGCCUCGCAUAUUAGAGCGGCCGAUAUCGGAUUAGCUAGUUGGUGGGGUAACGGCUCACCAAGGCGACGAUCCGUAGCUGGUUUGAGAGGACGACCAGCCACACUGGGACUGAGACACGGCCCAGACUCCUACGAGGCAGCAGUGGGGGAAUUUUUGGACAAUGGGAAACCUGAUCCAGCCAUCCGCGUGUGCGAUGAAGGCCUUCAGGUUGUAAAAGCACUUUUGGCAGGAAAACGGCACGGGAUAAUACCCCGUGCAACUGACGUACCUGCAGAAUAAGCACCGGCUAACUACGUGCCAGCAGCCGCGGUAAUACGUAGGGUGCAAGCGUUAAUCGGAAUUACUGGGCGUAAAGCGUGCGCAGGCGGUUCGGAAAAGAAGAUGUGAAAUCCCGAGCUUGCUUUGGAGCAUUUUUAACUACCGAGCUAGAGUAAUAUCAGAGAGGGAGGUGGAAUUCCGCGUGUAGCAGUGAAAUGCGUAGAUAUGCGGAGGAACACCGAUGGCGAAGGCAUUUCCUGGGAUAACUGACGCUCGUACGAAAAGCGUGGGAGCAAACAGGAUUAGAUACCUGGUAGUCCACGCCCUAAACGAUGUCAACUAGCUGUUGGGGCCUUCGGGCCUUGGUAGCAGCCACCAGCUAACGCGUGAAGUUGACCGCCUGGGGAGUACGGUCGCAAGAUUAAAACUCAAAGGAAUUGACGGGGACCCGCACAAGCGGUGGAUGAUGUGGAUUAAUUCGAUGCAACGCGAAAAACCUUACCUACCCUUGACAUGUCUGGAAUCGAAGAGAUUUGGGAGUGCUCGCAAGAGAACCGGAACACAGGUGCUGCAUGGCUGUCGUCAGCUCGUGUCGUGAGAUGUUGGGUUAAGUCCCGCAACGAGCGCAACCCUUGUCAUUAGUUGCUGCAGAAGGGCACUCUAAUGGAGACUGCCGGUGACAAACCGGAGGGAAGGUGGGGAUGACGUCAAGUCCUCAUGGCCCUUAUGGGCGGGGGCUUCACACGUCAUACAAUGGUCGGGACAGAGGGUCGCCAACCCGCGAGGGGAGCCAAUCCCAGAAACCCGAUCGUAGUCGGAUCGCAGUCUGCAACUCGACUGCGUGAAGUCAGAUCGCUAGUAAUCGCCUGGAUCAGCAUGUCAUGGUGAAUACGUUCCGGGUCUUGUACACACCUUCAUCCUGUGAAUUGGGUUUUUUUACGCAGAAGUAGUUAGCCUAACCGUAAAGGAGAGGCGAUUACCACGGUAGGAUUCAUGACUGGGGUAGGUAUCGUAACAAGGUAG